rnacentral:rRNA from 1 species
AAAUCAGGUAGGACUACCCGCUGAACUUAAGCAUAUCAAUAAGCGGAGGAAAAGAAACCAACAGGGAUUGCCUCAGUAACGGCGAGUGAAGCGGCAAAAGCUCAAAUUUGAAAUCUAGCACCUUUCGUGUUCGAGUUGUAAUUGAGAUGGUAACCUUGGGUUUGG